AUAUUGUCUUUGGCUGAAUAUCCAGCAGAGAGGAUGUGCUGCACUCUCCAGAUGCACUGAAUAUGUUAAUAAUCCCUCAUUAGGGCGUCAUUAACGAGUUAGAGCUGUCUGCCUGAAAGAUGAAAACCAGAAAAGAGAAUGAAUACCUCCUUUAGAAGAAAGAGUUGUUGCUGUCUUUCAGUCCCUGCUUCGGAGUCAUCAACCCAGAGGCCGAAUCGAAAUUACAAAACGGAUGGCUGAGCGACGAAAUUGUUAGGUGUUAUCAUUUCAAGAUGUUCAUAGAAAAAAUACGAAAAUAUAUAUUACUGCUUAUUUCUUAUUUAUAGGUUCAUAAGGGAUUGCUGCUUUACACAAUCCAUGUGUAACUGGUGGUAUGAAAUGUUUGUUUUUUAUAGUUAAUUUAUAUUAUACAUCUAACAACAGCAAUAAUAAUAUGAGUAGCUCAGUGGGCAGCAGCAUGGUCUCUCUAGGUCUGAUUCCUGCCACAGAUCUACAUGGGCUUCUUUGAGGUACUUUCAUUUCUUCCCUCAGCCCAAAGACAUGCAUUGUAGCCGAACUGUUGUCCUACAGAGUGUAGUUGUCCCCCUGUAAUAGGGGUGACACCCAGGCUCCAGACUCAUUCUGACCCUUUCCUGGAUAAGAGGAUUUUUUUUUAAAUGCUUUGUGUAGUUCCCUUAUUUUGGCUGUGUAAAUACUCAGUAACAAGAGAAAAAACAGUGACUCGUCUGAGAUACAUUUACCCUGAUAGCACUAGUAUUUUUAGUCCCGAUAGAACAUGGGUUGCAGGCCACAACGUGUGAAGGAUUCAAGCAUCGAGUCUCGAAGUGUAUCACCAAGCGUGGGGUCCUGCAACUGAAAUUGUUGAGAU